rnacentral:rRNA from 1 species
UACGAAGGGGGCUAGCGUUGUUCGGAUUUACUGGGCGUAAAGCGCGUGUAGGCGGAUCGUUAAGUCGGGGGUGAAAGCCCAGAGCUCAACUCUGGAAUUGCCUUCGAUACUGGCGGUCUGGAGCAGAGAAGAGGCGAGUGGAAUUCCGAGUGUAGAGGUGAAAUUUGUAGAUAUUCGGAGGAACACCAGUGGCGAAGGCCGCUCGCUGGUCUCUUGCUGAAGCUGAGACGCGAAAGCGUGGGGAGCAAACAGG